rnacentral:lncRNA from 1 species
UUUUUUUUUUUUUUUUUUAAGAGUCAGAGUCUCGCUGUGUUUCCAGGUUGGUCUUGAACUCCUGGCCUCAAGUGAGCCUCCAGCCUCAACCUCCCAGGUAGCUGUGAUUACAGGUGCUCCCUGCUGAGAUGCAUAUGUAAGAAUGCUCCUAAGCUGAGGGAAGAGAAAAAGUGAUUAAUGGAAAGGGACAUAACAGGAAAAUGGAACCUGAAGAAAAAGAUGAAAGAAGAAGGGAAAGAGUAGGCACUGACAAGGGUGGUUAUGGUGGGACAGAGAUGAGGGGAAGGUAAGAUGCAGGGUGAAAAGGAGACAACAAACAGUACAGUAUUGUCAAGAGAGGACGUGAAAUGGGAAAAUUGAAUUUUAGCUGGACAUGGUGGUGCAUUCCUGUAGUCCCAGGUAUUUGGAGGCUGAGGCAGGAUUAUUUUAGCUUGGGAGUUCAAGUCUAGCCUGGGCAACAUAAUGAGAACCCAUCUCUUAAAAAAAAUUGACUUUAAUCAAAGAAACCUAUAAUUAUAUAGCAGUGGGACAAGAUAGCCUCUUUUGGGCCUCUGUUUCAUCUGUGAAAUGAUGCUUUUCAAUUAGAUGAUGUGUGGCAAGAGCCACACGGUUUGAGAUUCACAAUAUUUUGCAAGUGAUAUAUAAUUAAGCAAUGCUGUUUUCUAAGGUAUUCAUGUAUAUAUUUUAACCCCAUCCUGUAAAAUUAAAGUCAAACUUUGGAAAUAAGACAGGUAGAUACCAACUGGCAUGUGGCAACUUCUUGGAAUCUGUCUUUCAGAAGCAAAACUUUAUACUGUGCAUUUAGUGAAUGCUCUUCUGCAAAUAUACUUGAGAAUGUUAUUCAUAAUCUUAGACCCAUUCUAGUAAGAUAAGUUACAGAAGUCUACUACCUCCUGGCCUUUGUAUAUCUUGUUAAAAUGUUAUAUUAGAAUGUUUUAUGUUUUUUCUAAUGGCUGAGCAUCAGAAAGCAUCAUGGAGCUUUUAUUUUGAGUCAGAAGUCUUGGCAUUUUAAAAAAUGUUAAUACACAAUAUAUUAGACAUCUUUGUGAUUUUUUUUUUCCCUGAAAGUACAUCCACGUGUGAUUUUGUUGUUGUUGUUGUUAUUGUUAAUACAUUAUAUCCAGUUUAAUAAUGAAAUACUACUUCUCAAGAAGGCUUUGCUUCCUCCAGAAGUGAUUUGGUCAAAGCUAACUGUCCCAUCUAGUAGGAAAAGUUUAAAGACUGCUAGAUCAUGUCCACCCACUUAUUUCACUGUUAAUGGAAGCAUUUCCCAAAGUAUAUGUGCAUUCUGGGUUAAAUAACCUGGGCCACGUAGGUUUGGGACUUACUAUAUGCUACUCUUCUCCUCUCUCUUUAUUAUUUUAUUAAAACAAUAAAAACUCUGAAGUACUGUAGUAUAGGACUUAAUUCCUGGGGAGCUUUGCAAGAGCUUAAGAUUAGAAUUUUUAUCUUGUUUUGGAUAAUGCACUUCUAAGUUUAUUUUUUCCUAAUGAUAGCUCAAGAAGGAUGUUUAAAAGAAAAAUGUAACCCCAUAUCCUGUGUAUCAUAAAUAUAUCUCUGAUAUGUGUGUAUCUCUAUAUAAUCUCCAUGUAACACCAGUUAGAUUGUCUAGAUUUCAUUAAUGAAUUUUUCAUAAAGAUUUUCAUUUCUA